AGGAUAAACGCUGGCGGCGUGCCUAACACAUGCAAGUCGAACGCGCUUUCGGGCUUCGGUGCGAGAGCGAGUGGCGGACGGGUGAGUAACACAUGGGUACCUACCUUGGAGUGAGGGAUACCGGCGAGAAAUCGCCGACAAUACCGCAUAGGCUUCUUCACAAGGGAAGCAAAGUGACGCGAGUCACGCUGUGAGAUGGGCCUGUGGCCGAUUAGCUAGUUGGGGGGGUAACGGCUUCCCAAGGCGACGAUCGGUAGCUGGUCUGAGAGGACGAUCAGCCACACUGGGAUUGAGAACGGCCCAGACUCCUACGGGGGGCAGCAGUGAGGAAUUUUCCGCAAUGGAGGCAACUCUGACGGAGCAACGCCGCGUGCAGGAGGAAGGUUUUCGGAUCGUAAACUGCUUUUCGUCGGGGACGAGCAAGGACGGUACCCGAGGAAGAGCCCCGGCUAACUACGCGCCAGCAGCCGC
rnacentral:rRNA from 1 species